UAGCGAGAGAGAGAGAGAGAGAGAGAGAAGAAAUGUCUAAAACUUUAGUGAACACUAAUCAUUGCAUGUUGCUAUUAUUUGGAGUGUCGUGAUCGUAAAAAGAAUGACUCUUUUCCUGGGCAUGGCAUUGCAGACACGCUCCAUCGGUAUCUCUCAUCCCUCGUACGUAUGUAGACAACACUACUUACUGUUCAAUGCCUUUGUUUGUAGGGAACCUGAGUCAUAGAGAGACAUGUUACCUAAUUAAUCAUGCACACGCUUGCAGUCUCUUCUCUCUCUCCUUCCACAAUAUGACUUUGGAAAGAUAC
rnacentral:lncRNA from 1 species